GAUGACCGCUGGCGGCGUGCCUAAUACAUGCAAGUCGAGCGAAGCGGGGACGGGUGAGUAACACGUGGAUAACCUCCUAUAAGACUGGGAUAAAUUCGGGAAACCGGAGCUAAACCGGAUACUUAUCGAUGGAUCCGCGUUGCAUUAGCUAGUUGGUAAGGUAACGGCUUACCAAGGCAACGAUGCCUAGCCGACCUGAGAGGGUGAGAGGAAAAACUGGAACUGAGACAAGGUGCAGAAUAGGAAGAGAGGCAGGAGGAGGAAAACGGACGCAAUGGGCGAAAGCCUGACGGGGCAACGCCGCGUUAGUGAUGAAGGGCUGCGGAUAGUAAAACUCUGGGAUUAGGGAAGCGGUACCUAAUCAGAAAGCCACGGCUAACUACGUGCCAGCCGCCGCGGUAAUUC
rnacentral:rRNA from 1 species